GAAUGGCUGAAAUAUGAUGAGCAUACAAAAUUUUGAUUAAAAAAUGAGAAUUUAUAAGAUCCAACUCUGAUUUCAUCCAGAG
rnacentral:snoRNA from 1 species